UACGGAGGGGGCUAGCGUUGUUCGGAAUUACUGGGCGUAAAGCGCACGUAGGCGGCUUUGCAAGUCAGAGGUGAAAGCCCGGGGCUCAACCCCGGAAUAGCCUUUGAGACUGCAUCGCUAGAAUUGUGGAGAGGUAAGUGGAAUUCCGAGUGUAGAGGUGAAAUUCGUAGAUAUUCGGAAGAACACCAGUGGCGAAGGCGACUUACUGGACACAUAUUGACGCUGAGGUGCGAAAGCGUGGGGAGCAAACAGGG
rnacentral:rRNA from 1 species